rnacentral:rRNA from 1 species
GACAGAGGUGCCAAGCGUUAGGCGGAAUCACUGGGCUUAAAGCGUGUGUAGGCGGGUCGUUAAGUACCUUGUGAAAUCCCCCGGCUCAACCGGGGAACGGCUGGGUAUACUGGCGAUCUUGAGCCACCUAGGGGCAGUCGGAACAAGUGGUGGAGCGGUGAAAUGCGUAGAUAUCACUUGGAACGCCAAUGGUGAAAACAGACUGCUGGGGGUGUGCUGACGCUGAGACACGAAAGCCAGGGGAGCGAACGGG